GGUGCAUCUAAGAGAUUUUACUCUUCCAGACAAAGGUCAACGAGUAGCAAUAAAACUCCCCUUCCAUUACCUGAACAGUCUACGUCCCCCAGCUCUUGGAGAUCUCUUAUUAUUGUAUGAUACUAUGACUCCAUCUUCCCUGGAGAUGCUCCAAUUUUGCAAUUCUCGUUCUAUAAAAUUUAUGUUCCAUCAUAGCUGGAAUUGGUGGUUUGGUUUUUUUCAUUCACUAUAACGAUGAAAAGAGAGCGAAUCCAAAAGGUGAUUUUGUCAUUUAGACUUACUGAUUUGAUUGAUUGACUUGAUGACAUAAAAGGUUUUCUAAGUGCCAUAUAUAUACUAGUGUCUAUUUGGGAUGAACAAGUUGUUGAUGGUUCACGCCGAAGUAAAAGUUAGGGAUGCUCUUCUGAAAUGGCUUGUGACUCUAGUAUGAGAUUACGGAAUUAUGAAGCAUUUAAGUGAAGGGUGAAAUCGUAUUGACUGGACUUUGUCUACAAUUUCAUGCAGCUUCAAUGGGAUUUUAACUGGUUGUAAACGUGUCGGUGAUGGCUUCAGAGUCUGAUCUGUUACCUAAAUUCUACUUUUUGUAGAAUGUAUAUAUUGAUGAGUUACUUUUGAGAGAUGGGGGAUUCGAUGGCGAUGUUGUUUGUCUAAUUACAGACUUACAACAUGCUUGGUAGGGAUGAAUGGAUUGGACUUGAUAAUACUAAAAAAGAAAGAGAAGCUAAAAUCUUGUUUAUUACACUCUUUAAGUUCUUUCUAGUAUUGCAUACCAAACAAGCUCUUUUUUCUGUUUAUAUUUGAAGCAUUAUUAUUUUAUUUGAAACAACCAGUCCUCUUUGGUUUUUCUCUUUCUUCUGUCUAGCUGUGAAUGUAAUUAGUAUCUUUUCAAGCAUUUCUCUUAUUUACUGUUGGCAGCUGUUGUAAAUACAGUAAUUUGUUAUAAUAAAUUGCCUUUUAUGAGCGUUAUCACUGGAAAAAAAUUAUGUCAAUUGCAAUCUUGCAUCUUUACAUGGAAAUUGGACUGGGAAGGGGAUUCCUGAAAUGUGCUCAUGAUGAAGAUGACAAAAACAUUAUGAAAUUAUACUGCAACCAUCAUUCUUUUGGCUUAUUUCAGUGUGUUUCUGUAGGUCUAUGUCAGUUUCAUCUGCUAUUUUCUUGUUUUAAUACUUAAAGGAAUCCCAUAUCUACUUCUAGUGCUAUUACAUGAAAUAAUAAAUUGCUUCUGCUAGCACAUUUUCAUGAUCAAAGAAGAUUAAACUAAGGGAUAUAACAUUGGUUAAUGAGCAAAUGGUUGGUUAUUCUUCAUAGAAGUCAACUGAAUUUACAUUGUCUAUUGACAAACUGUCUUCAACUCUUCAUUUUAUUUAAAUUUUUUGUUUCAUUUUUCAACUUCAAUUAGGCCAGGGUGUAGAGCUUGAAAGAAGUGCCAUUCAAGGGCCGAUAAUUGGUGGCCCUUUCAGCCUAUUAGUACAGAAGGCCAGUUAGUCACUGAACACAACCUUCUGGAGAUCUGGGUUCUCCUCUACUUCGGUUAUACUUCAUCUCCUGAUGUUGGGCCAGUAGAGGUUCAAAAGAUGGCCAAGACCGUUGAGAUAUUAGGUUUUACUAAUCCAUUUUUCCUUGCAAUUAAAUUGAACUGUUUUUGAGUUCUAUGAUUGAUUUUUUGUUUUUCCUAAUUUGAUUGGAACAAGAGUCAAAACAGAAUCUCAAGAUUUUGCCCAUAUUUGUCACAAUUGAUCCUUAGAGGGAUACGCCUGCACAGCUUCGUGCUUACCUCAGAGGUGAGUUUGCUAUUGACUUGUUUUCUUGUACCCUUCCACAAAACUGGUUGGAGUAUUUUCCAUGAAGCCAGACAUCUCAUAUUUGGUGAAAAAUGGUAGCACUGUUAUAAGUUGACUUUAUUAUUAAUGAAUAAUUGUCAUCAUAACCCAUAAUUAUAUAAUUUGUCUCUCUUUGUAAUUGAGUUUUAAGGAAAAUGACCUGAAGUCGUCAUUUUACAUCAUGAUAUAAUUUCAUCAAUCAUGCUGCCUUCUUAAUCAUGAUUAUUUUUUUGGGUGAGAUAUCAGUUGUGUGUGGCCUUAAGAAAGGAAAGAUGUAAAAUAGUAAUUUUCAGUUAUAACUUAUUUUAUAAGACUUAAAUGAGAUCCAAAGACUUUCUUAGCUGCUGCAUUUGUGUAUAUCUUGUCGAGGGGUUUUCCUUGACUUAAAUUUUGUUAAUUAUCAAAAGAAAGUGUUUUCUAAUGCACUAAACAUCAAUUCCGGCAAAUUAUAUUAUUCUACAAUAAUAAAAAGUACAAUAAGAGAAACCUACUGCGUUUUUUUUUUUUUUUUUUCAGGAAAAAAAAUAUUUUAAGGCAAUUUUUUCUUUGUUUCAACUGGGAUUUUGCAAAGCCCAAUUAGUAUAGGUGAGUAUGGUCACAGCUGCACCGGCUUAAGCUAUUUAUUCUCAUGUUCUUCUGUCCUAUGUCUUUAUCUCCAGAAGUAUUAAAUCAUUUUGAUGGUUCUUUAGAAUGUCUUUUAAUGCAUGGCAAGAAGUAUCUUUUCCCUAUUAUGUAUGUGAGUUGCACCAUUUGGUGUUUAUUUAUUUAGUAGUAGUACUAAUAAGCUAAGUUGUAAUUCUGAUAUUUUCUAUGACUAACAUUUCCCGCACCACUUUCUUUCCAUAUCGAGUGUAGAGUUCGACUCAAGGAUAGUGGGAUUAACUGGACCAGUUGCUGCUAUUAGACAGAUGGCACAACAGUCCAUGUAUUCUUUAAAAAGGUCGACGAAGAAGGAGAUGAUUAUCUUGUCAAGUCUUCUCAAAACAUGUAAAGUGCAAGCCUUCCUCCGAUCUUCCUCGUCUUCACUGUUUCCAUUUUUCUUUUCCCGAUAUAUCUUUUUGCUGUUUUGAAAAGUUGUAUGAAUAUAAUUAACAGGUACUUGAUGAAUCCGAACAUGGAAGUAGUGAGGUGCUUUGGAGUUGAAUACAGUGCGGGGUAGGUUUAUACUUUUCAAGUGUCACUCUUAACAAUUUUUUCCCUUCACACUGUCAAAAUGUAUGUUAGUUUUGAAUUUGAUCCAAUUUUAAUACAAAAUGACACUUGGUAUCUGCAGCAGCUAAGGUUCCUCAUGUUCCCUGUUCAAUCAUCUCGAGUUUCUAAUUACAUUCUCAGCCACUUCCUUUUU
rnacentral:lncRNA from 1 species